rnacentral:rRNA from 1 species
GUACACGCUGUGACUAGCAUAUCAAUAAGCGGAGGAAAAGAAACUAACAAGGAUUCCCCUAGUAACGGCGAGUGAAGCGGGAAGAGCUCAAAUUUGAAAUCUUAAAGGGUUUCCCUUUACGAAUUGUAGUUUAAAGAAGUGUUUUCUGUUGAGGUUUUGGUAAAAGUUCUUUGGAAUAGGACAUCAUAGAGGGUGAGAAUCCCGUAUUUGACCUUUACUUUCAACUUUGUGAUACACUUUCAAAGAGUCGGAUUGUUUGGGAAUGCAGUCCAAAAUGGGUGGUAAAUUUCAUCUAAAGCUAAAUAUUGGCGAGAGACCGAUAGCGAACAAGUACCGUGAGGGAAAGAUGAAAAGAACUUUGAAAAGAGAGUUAAACAGUACGUGAAAUUGUCAAAAGGGAAGCGUUUGACACCAGUGUUGUUUUUCUGAAAAUCAAUUAAAGAACUGUUUAUGCUAAGCUGUUUAGACUUUAUCAGCUAUCUGUUUAGUUUUGAGCUUUUCUUUAAUGCACUUUUCAGUUAACAAGUCAACAUCAAUUUCUUUUGCUGUAAAAAAGCUUGAGGAAGGUGGCUUGAGAUUCGUCUUAAGUGUUUAUAGCCUCUUGCCUAUGCAGUCGGAGAGAUUGAGGUCUGCAGCGUAGAUCCUUCGGGGCUAAAUGCAUUUGUGCUAAGUUAUAGCAUUUUAUAGACAACUUGUUGACUAUGAUUUGUCUUGUAGCUUACUCGCUUAUGUUAUUUUACCUACGCUUAGGAUGUUGACGCGCGUGUGUGCGUGAGUCUAUACAUGACUCUGUGCAUAUCAAUAAGCGGAGGAAAAGCGGUUGAACUUAGUGAGCUGGGACAGGUCAAUGCUCUUCAGGUCGGUAUUAUUCAUGCAAGCCUCGUCGGCAAUGGCAACAAAAUCAUAUUUGUAACCAUAGGCACUAUAAGUACCUGUCCUGGUACCUACGCUUAGGAUGUUGAUAUGCAUGACUGAUAU